UUAGCGGCGAAAUCCAUGAUCCUAUGCUGCCGAGAAAAGCCUCUGGCGAGCUGGUACAUGGCCCGUACCCCAAACCGACACAGGUGGUCAGGUAGAGAAUACUAAGGCGAUCGAGAGAACUGUGGUUAAGGAACUCGGCAAAAUGCCCCCGUAACUUCGGGAGAAGGGGGACCAGUCCUGGUGACGACAUUUACUGUCUGAGCUGGGGUUGGUCGCAGAGACCAGAGAGAAGCGACUGUUUACUAAAAACACAGGUCCGUGCGAAGUCGUAAGACGAUGUAUACGGACUGACGCCUGCCCGGUGCUGGAAGGUUAAGAGGACCGGUCAGCCACUUCGGUGGCGAAGCUGAGAAUUUAAGCCCCAGUAAACGGCGGUGGUAACUAUAACCAUCCUAAGGUAGCGAAAUUCCUUGUCGGGUAAGUUCCGACCUGCACGAAUGGCGUAACGACUUCUCUGCUGUCUCAACCACAGACUCGGCGAAAUUGCAGUACGAGUAAAGAUGCUCGUUACGCGCGGCAGGACGAAAAGACCCCGGGACCUUCACUAUAGCUUGGUAUUGGUGUUCGGUUCGGUUUGUGUAGGAUAGGUGGGAGACUGUGAAACUCGCACGCCAGUGUGGGUGGAGUCAUUGUUGAAAUACCACUCUGACCGUAUUGGACAUCUAACCUCGGACCAUGAUCUGGUUCAGGGACAGUGCCUGGUGGGUAGUUUAACUGGGGCGGUUGCCUCCCAAAAAGUAACGGAGGCGCCCAAAGGUUCCCUCAGCCUGGUUGGCAAUCAGGUGUUGAGUGUAAGUGCACAAGGGAGCUUGACUGUGAGACGUACAUGUCGAGCAGGGACGAAAGUCGGGACUAGUGAUCCGGCACCGGCAAGUGGAAGCGGUGUCGCUCAACGGAUAAAAGGUACCCCGGGGAUAACAGGCUGAUCUUCCCCAAGAGUCCAUAUCGACGGGAUGGUUUGGCACCUCGAUGUCGGCUCGUCGCAUCCUGGGGCUGGAGUAGGUCCCAAGGGUUGGGCUGUUCGCCCAUUAAAGCGGCACGCGAGCUGGGUUUAGAACGUCGUGAGACAGUUCGGUCUCUAUCCGCCGCGCGCGUAAGAAACUUGAGGAAACCUGUCCCUAGUACGAGAGGACCGGGACGGACGAACCUCUGGUGUGCCAGUUGUUCCACCAGGAGCACCGCUGGUUAGCUACGUUCGGAAGGGAUAACCGCUGAAAGCAUCUAAGCGGGAAGCCUGUUCCAAGAUGAGGUUUCUCACCACCUAGCGUGGUUAAGGCCCCCCACAGACCAUGGGGUUGAUAGGCCAGAACUGUAAGCACAGCAAUGUGUUCAGGUGACUGGUACUAAUCGGCCGAGGACUUACC
rnacentral:rRNA from 1 species